rnacentral:tRNA from 1 species
GCCUGGGUGGUUCAGUUGGUUGAGUGUCCGACUUCAGCUCAGGUCAUGAUUUCACAGUUUGUGGGUUCGAGUCUCACAUCGGGCU